rnacentral:rRNA from 1 species
UACAGAGGGUGCAAACGUUGUUCGGAAUUACUGGGCAUAAAGCGUACGUAGGCGGCGUCGUAAGUGUCGGAUGAAAUCCCACGGCUUACCCGUGGAACGGUCCGGCAUACUGCGGUGCUAGAGGAUGGUAGAGGAGAGCGGAACUCUUGGUGGAGCGGUGAAAUGCGUAGAUAUCAAGAGGAACACCGGUGGCGAAGGCGGCUCUCUGGUCCAUGUCUGACGCUGAGGUACGAAAGCUAGGGGAGCAAACGGG